CACCAACUUCAGAACAGUAGAGUCUCUUUCUCUCCCAUCAAGGUACCUUGAAUCUCGCAGAGGCCUUAGUUCAAGCUGCGAAAUGUACGGAUCACCUGUUUCAUGCACCAAACAGAAAUCUACGUGCUGCUCAGCUGCCCUGAACAUGGCUUCCACCGUUGAUUUUCCCGACGAGUCCACCAAACUUAUCGGCGUGACACCAACCAAGACAUCAAAGGUAGUGGGCCCCAGGGAUCCUGCGGAUCUACCAGAAGGGAACGUACCCCUUAUCACGUAGUCACUGUCCUGAGUCGUUGCCAAGCUGUAGCAUCUCUUCUCCGAGUUUUCGAUGUCGAAAAACCUAACUUUAUCGUUACCUGUGUAGCUCUCUGACGUGGCGGCUAGGCAGCCUGUUUCGUCUGGGUACCAUUGCUCAUCUGAUAUCCAAGCUAUUGAGGAGCUAUCUGUCUGGCUUUGUUCGCCGCAGCAAUUUAUGCUUAUGAAACCUGCAGGUGACAUGAUUCCUGGGUUUAGAAAGUUGAAACAAACACGGUAGCAGCACGUCAGCAAAUAAAGUGUCCCAACUCAAAUUCUGGUCAG
rnacentral:lncRNA from 1 species